rnacentral:misc_RNA from 1 species
AAGUCGUAACAAGGUUUCCGUAGGUGAACCUGCGGAAGGAUCAUUCACACAAUAAAGUCCUUAGCUUAGUGCAUUAUAUAUGUGUCAAAGCAUAUAUGGUGUAUUAGGUUUUGUGAUUUUUUUAAACCCAAAACUAAAACCAAACGCGAACUGUACAAUCCUUGUCAAAAUAACCAAAUGCCCUGUUACGCGGUAGAUGAAAGUCUAUGCGGUGUUCUCGGCGAGUUAAAACGUCGGCUGAUGAUGCCUCUAACCCGGGCUAGUUAGUUGUUAAUUUUGCUGAUAGUCCUAUAUCUGGUGGAUUCCUUAUAGGCGGAAAUGUAGAAAUACGAAAUAUAUACAACUCUUUGCAAUGGAUAUCUUGGUUCUC